rnacentral:rRNA from 1 species
AGAGUUUGAUCCUGGCUCAGGACGAACGCUGGCGGCGUGCCUAAUGCAUGCAAGUCGAGCGGGCUACGAUCUUCGGAUUGUAGCUUAGCGGCGAACGGGUGAGUAACACGUAGGUAAUCUACCCUUCAGAGGAGGACAACCUCAGGAAACUGAGGCUAAACCUUCAUACGUUCACUGGUAGGGAUACUGGUGAAGAAAGAGUUACCGUUGAGGUGGCUGCUGAAGGAUGAGCCUGCGGCCCAUCAGGUAGUUGGUGAGGUAACGGCUCACCAAGCCGAAGACGGGUAACCGGUCUGAGAGGAUGUCCGGUCACACUGGGACUGAGACACGGCCCAGACUCCUACGGGAGGCAGCAGCAGGGAAUCUUGGGCAAUGGGCGAAAGCCUGACCCAGCGACGCCGCGUGGAGGAAGAAGUCCUUCGGGGCGUAAACUCCUGGACUGGGGGACGAGGAAGGACGGUACCCCAGUAGAAAGGGACGGCUAACUACGUGCCAGCAGCCGCGGUAAAACGUAGGUCCCGAGCGUUGUUCGGAUUCACUGGGUGUAAAGGGCGCGUAGGUGGUUGUCUGUGUCUCAUGUGAAAACUCAGGGCUCAACUCUGAGAUUGCGUGGGAAACUAGGCAGCUAGAGGACGGUAGAGGGGAGUGGAAUUCCCGGUGUAGCGGUAAAAUGCGUAGAUAUCGGGAGGAACACCGGUGGCGAAGGCGGCUCUCUGGGCCGAUCCUGACGCUGAGGCGCGAAAGCUAGGGGAGCGAACCGGAUUAGAUACCCGGGUAGUCCUAGCCGUAAACGAUGGGUGCUAGGUGUUGGGGGGGUAAAGACCCUUCAGUGCCGAAGCCAACGCGAUAAGCAUCCCACCUGGGGAGUACGGCCGCAAGGUUGAAACUUAAAUGAAUUGACGG